rnacentral:rRNA from 1 species
UCGGUAGGAGAACCUUCGGAGGGAUCAUUA